rnacentral:rRNA from 1 species
GACGUAGGGCGCGAGCGUUGUCCGGAUUUAUUGGGCGUAAAGAGCUCGUAGGCGGCUUGUCGCGUCGACUGUGAAAUCCCGCGGCUCAACUGCGGGUCUGCAGUCGAUACGGGCAGGCUAGAGUUCGGUAGGGGAGACUGGAAUUCCUGGUGUAGCGGUGAAAUGCGCAGAUAUCAGGAGGAACACCGGUGGCGAAGGCGGGUCUCUGGGCCAAAACUGACGCUGAGGAGCGAAAGCGUGGGGAGCGAACAGG